rnacentral:rRNA from 1 species
GUCCACGCCGUAAACGAUGUCAACUAGCCGUCGGACUCCUUGAGGGUUUGGUGGCGCAGCUAACGCGAUAAGUUGACCGCCUGGGGAGUACGGCCGCAAGGUUAAAACUCAAAUGAAUUGACGGGGCCGCACAAGCGGUGGAGCAUGUGGUUUAAUUCGAUGCAACGCGAAGAACCUUACCAGGCCUUGACAUCCUGCGAACUUUCUAGAGAUAGAUUGGUGCCUUCGGGAGGCGCAGUGACAGGUGCUGCAUGGCUGUCGU